GAGUGAUGCUGAUAGUACUAUGUAUCCUUCAUACCUAAUUUUGUUUUCCUGACAUUUUUCGUCAUAAAAACGGAUUAUAUAGCAGGUGUGAUCAAAUAAAGCUUCUGCAUGCAGUCUUUUGUGCCGGUGAUAUCCUGAAGAGUGGUCUGAAAACGCUCAUGGUUUUCUUGCAGCCAGCUAGUGAAAGGUGUGCAGACCAAAUUAGGCUGAUGCUAGUCAGUGGUGCUGGUGUUCUACUGUUCUAGGUUCUAUUACAGCAACCUUGGUUGUUACUGUCUGCCUGUUUGACAUUGGCAUGUCUCACUAAAUUGUUAAGUCACACUUCAGAUAUUGAAACCCUCAUCACAUCCAAUUCUUUGCUGCCACUCCUGAGGUUGCGGGGAACAUCACAACAAGUUCACAUUCAAGCUGAUCUGAAAUUGAUUGAUUUGCGAUUAUUUCUUUGCCCCUGUUUCUAUAGACUUCAUGAUCAAUUGAAGAGAGAUUGCUGAAAUUAAAAUUGAUUGAUCAAUAAAUUAUGGUGAUGUAGAUAAAUUACCAAGUGUAAAUCUGGGCUCCCUUCUUUUCUGUGGCCCUGUUUCCCUAACUAACCACUAUAUAACCAACAACCGCCGGUGGUUACUCACCCACUCUGAAAACAGAAGGAUGAGGAGGGCUCUGGUCGAACGGGGACUUGGAAGGCGGAAGAUCUGAGAAAAACUUUUGGAGGGUCAUGAGUCUAACCAUGAAGCCUACUAUGACUAAUCACUUCCUAGCAAAACUGUACACACUUUUCUCUUCUUCCUUGUUCAGGUAAUCUCCCUGGGCAAAGUCAAUCAAGGCAGAGUCUCCCCCUGGCUUGACUGAUAGCUGGACUUGCAAGGCCAAAGUUGAAUGAAAUUUAUUAUAAACUCACUGUUUAAAAAAACUAGAAAUAAGCACGAGACUAAAUUGUAUUGU